rnacentral:rRNA from 1 species
UGACGUCAAGUCCUCAUGGCCCUUAUAGGUGGGGCUACACACGUCAUACAAUGGAUGGUACAAAGGGUCGCCAACCCGCGAGGGGGAGCCAAUCCCAUAAAGCCAUUCGUAGUCCGGAUCGCAGUCUGCAACUCGACUGCGUGAAGUCGGAAUCGCUAGUAAUCGUGGAUCAGCAUGCCGCGGUGAAUACGUUCCCGGGCCUU